rnacentral:rRNA from 1 species
GGCUCAGAUUGAACGCUGGCGGCAUGCCUUACACAUGCAAGUCGAACGGCAGCACGGACUUCGGUCUGGUGGCGAGUGGCGAACGGGUGAGUAAUGUAUCGGAACGUACCUUCAGUGGGGAUAACGUAGCGAAAGUUACGCUAAUACCGCAUAUUCUGUGAGCAGGAAAGCAGGGGAUCGCAAGACCUUGCGCUGAUUGAGCGGCCGACAUCAGAUUAGCUAGUUGGUGAGGUAAAGGCUCACCAAGGCGACGAUCUGUAGCGGGUCUGAGAGGAUGAUCCGCCACACUGGAACUGAGACACGGUCCAGACUCCUACGGGAGGCAGCAGUGGGGAAUUUUGGACAAUGGGGGCAACCCUGAUCCAGCCAUGCCGCGUGAGUGAAGAAGGCCUUCGGGUUGUAAAGCUCUUUCGGCCGGGAAGAAAUCGCAUGGGCUAAUACCCUGUGCGGAUGACGGUACCGGCAUAAGAAGCACCGGCUAACUACGUG